UACGUAGGGGGCAAGCGUUGUCCGGAUUUAUUGGGCGUAAAGAGCGUGUAGGCGGCUUUACAGGUCCGUUGUGAAAACUCGAGGCUCAACCUCGAGACGCCGGUGGAAACCGUAAGGCUAGAGUCCGGAAGAGGAGAGUGGAAUUCCUGGUGUAGCGGUGAAAUGCGCAGAUAUCAGGAAGAACACCCGUGGCUAAGGCGGCUCUCUAGUACGGUACUGACGCUGAGACGCGAAAGCGU
rnacentral:rRNA from 1 species